UGCUGCAACUUCUAUCCUUACCUCCUCGUGGUACUGGUCAGGUACACAACCCCGGUGGGAACUUUGGUCGUAUGCUGACAGGGAAGG
rnacentral:ribozyme from 1 species